rnacentral:rRNA from 1 species
GGCUCAGAUUGAACGCUGGCGGCAUGCCUUACACAUGCAAGUCGAACGGCAGCACGGGAGCAAUCCUGGUGGCGAGUGGCGAACGGGUGAGUAAUAUAUCGGAACGUGCCCAGUCGUGGGGGAUAACGUAGCGAAAGCUACGCUAAUACCGCAUACGAUCUAUGGAUGAAAGCGGGGGAUCGCAAGACCUCGCGCGAUUGGAGCGGCCGAUAUCAGAUUAGCUAGUUGGUGGGGUAAAGGCCCACCAAGGCGACGAUCUGUAGCUGGUCUGAGAGGACGACCAGCCACACUGGAACUGAGACACGGUCCAGACUCCUACGGGAGGCAGCAGUGGGGAAUUUUGGACAAUGGGCGCAAGCCUGAUCCAGCAAUGCCGCGUGCAGGACGAAGGCCUUCGGGUUGUAAACUGCUUUUGUACGGAGCGAAAAGGUCUCUACUAAUACUAGGGGCUCAUGACGGUACCGUAAGAAUAAGCACCGGCUAACUACGUG